rnacentral:rRNA from 1 species
UACGUAGGGGGGCGAGCGUUGUCCGGAUUCAUUGGGCGUAAAGCGCGGGCAGGCGGCCCGCUCAGUCGGCCGUGAAAGCGCCGGGCUCAACUCGGCGAGGUCGGGCGAUACUGGCGGGCUCGAGGCUGGUAGAGGGCGGUGGAAUUCCGGGUGUAGUGGUGGAAUGCGUAGAGCUCCGGAGGAACACCAGUGGCGAAGGCGGC